rnacentral:rRNA from 1 species
UUGAUCAUGGCUCACGAGUGAACGCUGGCAGGUAGGCCUAACACAUGCAAGUCGAACGGCAGCACAGGAGAGCUUGCUCUCUGGGUGGCGAGUGGCAGGACGGGUGAGGAAUACAUCGGAAUCUACUUUUUCGUGGGGGAUAACGUAGGGAAACUUACGCUAAUACCGCAUACGACCUACGUGGUGAAAGCAGGGGAUCUUCGGACCUUGCGCGAUUGAAUGAGCCGAUGUCGGAUUAGCUAGUUUGGCGGGGUAAAGGCCCACCAAGGCGACGAUCCGUAGCUGGUCUGAGAGGAUGAUCAGCACNCUGGAACUGAGACACGGUCCAGACUCCUACGGGAGGCAGCAGUGGGGACAUAUUGGACAAUGGGCGCAGCCUGAUCCAGNCAUACCAGCGUGGGUGAAGAAGGCCUUCGGGUUGUCAAGCCCUUAAGUNGGGAAAGAAAUACANCUGNGCAUAAUAACCGNGUUGGCGAUGACGGUACCCAACGAAUAA